GUCGAGCGGAUUGAAGGAGCUUGCUCCCUGAUAUUAGCGGCGGACGGGUGAGUAACACGUGGGCAACCUGCCCUGCAGAUGGGGAUAACUCCGGGAAACCGGGGCUAAUACCGAAUAAUCGGUUCUUCCGCAUGGAAGAACUCUGAAAGACGGUUUCGGCUGUCACUGCAGGAUGGGCCCGCGGCGCAUUAGCUAGUUGGUGGGGUAAUGGCCUACCAAGGCGACGAUGCGUAGCCGACCUGAGAGGGUGAUCGGCCACACUGGGACUGAGACACGGCCCAGACUCCUACGGGAGGCAGCAGUAGGGAAUCUUCCACAAUGGACGAAAGUCUGAUGGAGCAACGCCGCGUGAGCGAAGAAGGUUUUCGGAUCGUAAAGCUCUGUUGCGAGGGAAGAACAAGUACGGGAGUAACUGCCCGUACCUUGACGGUACCUCGUCAGAAAGCCACGGCUAACUACGUGCCAGCAGCCGCGGUAAUACGUAGGUGGCAAGCGUUGUCCGGAAUUAUUGGGCGUAAAGCGCGCGCAGGCGGUCCUUUAAGUCUGAUGUGAAAGCCCACGGCUCAACCGUGGAGGGUCAUUGGAAACUGGAGGACUUGAGUACAGAAGAGGAAAGCGGAAUUCCACGUGUAGCGGUGA
rnacentral:rRNA from 1 species